ACUAUAAAAAUAACUUGGAUCUUCUGCCCCUCCCCUUUUAGCAUGACAGCUAGCAAUUAAUCUAAGUUUUUUUUCCCAGAAAAACAAAAAAUUGCUUAUGUAUAAACCAGGGUUGCUUCAAGUAGAAUUGAAGGGGUAACCAGCAACAAGAGUCAGCUUUGGCUAGGUGCCAUUAAGUCACAAAGUUGUUCAAGUCCUUUUCCAUGGAAUUGAGUUCAUAAUGCAGUCUGACAUUUCAGACCAGUACUAACAAAGUGUCAUGUGGUUAAAAGUACCUAUUGGGAUGAGUUGCUUAAACAAUGUUCCGGUUGCUUGCUCAGAUGGAUGUGAAGGAUUUUAUUCAGCAUUAGUUUCAUGAACUUUUGAUGAACUUUGCUAUUCUCAUAUUGAAUUCUGUACUUCCAACAGUAAUUGAAGGUUCUCUAAUGAAAUAUUCUGGGAUAUUGAGGUUCCAGGGUGGUUAAAGAGGCCAACAUGGGAAUAACAGUCUCUUCAACUGAUGAGAUGAGAAGCCCUUGGCAGGGUGGACAGGCAGGCAGCUUUAAGGGCUUGGAAAGGAGUACCUUUGCGAGUCCAGUAUCAAGAUUAUAAAGAUAAAAAUAAAGAUUAGCUUUAUUUGUCACAUGUACACAUCAAAGCAUUGCAACCUACCAUGAAGUGUGUUGACUGUGUCAAAACAAAUCAGCAAGGAUUGUGCUGUGGACAACCUACAAGUUCUGCCACGCUUCCAAUGCAAGAAUGACAUGCCUGCAACUCACUAACCCUCACUGAAAGCCUUUGAAAUGUGGGAAGAAACUGGAGCACCUUGAGGAAAUGCUCACAGUCAGGAGGAGAACAUACAAACUCCUUGUAGACAAUCAGUGAUUGCUAGCGCUGUAAAGCAAUUACACUAACUGCUACACUACCCUGCAUACACAGCUGCUUGGCAGUAACUAAGGAUUCAGUGAUGGGACUAUUGACCGGUGAAGUGAACUCAGACUGGUUAGCAUAUCCUUUCAGAGCACUUGGAGGAUUUUGUGGAAGUAGGAUUGGUGGUAUAUUUACACAAUGUUCAAUGCCUGCUGCAGUUAGUCCAGCUCUCAGAAUACUUCAGUUUCCUGUUUAUCUAUGUGACGCAAUGAAGUUGAAAUUACCCACAAUUAACUCAAUAAAAAUAAAGAUCAGCUGGUUUUGUUCCAGGCUGUGUAUUGUGCAGAAUAUUUCCCUAUCAAGUGACAGGUUGGAAAUAAAUGAAAAACUGAGCCGAGGUGGAAGCUUGUCCAUUAUUCCAUGAAUUUACCAAAGAGAGAGCAGACAUACUGUAAUUUCCUCUUUAAUCCCUUAUGAAUAUGAUUACUGCUGUUCAGAAGCAUAGCAUCAUUCCCGCAGAGACAUCAUUGAGACACAUGAGAACUUUUCAUCCUAAAAUAGCCAACAAUUUUGAAUCAGCAAAAGGUACCAAAAUAUUUAUAUAAGUGGUCACUGCAAUCUAAAUCAACUUACAAUACAGCUUCUGAAUCUUAAUAAACAUGGGAAUACACAGCUUUACAUCAAAGAGAGUUCUUAGCACAUUAUUUUAGGGAUCUCUACUGCUUCAUUUUGGUAAUUAAACAACAUUAAAGCAGAAGUGAUGUUUAUGCAAGCCUGGAUAAUGUACAGUGUAUUGGAGAGUAACUUGAAGAUGCUUCCCACAGAAUUGCUGCUCUUGCUUAUCUCAGCUGUAGAAGUCACAGGUCAAGGAAGCGUAGAUUAGCAGUACAGUUAUUAGAACUGCUUCCUUACCACCCAAGUGACUUGGGUCCAAUUCCAUCCUCCAGCAUUCUGUGUGUGGAGUUUGCAAGUGACCUCUUGGGUUUCCUCUGCAUGUCCGAGGUUUCUUUCCAUAUCCUAAAGCCACUGGUGAGUUCACUGUAAUAUGCCCCUAGUGCAGGGGUGGCAAACCUCUUUGAGACUGUGUGGUCAAAUUGUUCAGUCUUCUAAAAAAUUCUCUCAUGUGCCAUGGUAAUUUUGAGCAGAAAUUAUCAUUGAUUAAUGAAUUGGUAUAACAGAAACAGAUUGAAACAAAUGAAGCAAUUUAGAAAACCUGUUAAAAUCAUUAAUAUUAAUCUUUUCACAGGACCAUAACAUUAUUUCUGAACAGUAUUGUUAUUGUAACCAUUUACUAUGCAAGUAAUGAUGUGCACACCAGGUCUGUAAGGUGUUCAAACUGCUCAUCCAACGUCACACGUGCUUGCAACCAUCUAGGUGACACCAGACCGGUCUGAGAGGUUUCCUGUGAAAAUAUCUCACUCCUCGUGUUGUAGAAAAAUAAUUCUCUAUUUCAUUUGAUAGCAAAGGUAAUCAUUAUGUAUCCUCUUAUUGUGGGGUUUAAAGAAAUUAGGAGUUGCAUUGCAUGCUGCAUGCAAAAAGAAUUCUUACGGGUGCCUUCUUAGGCAUGUGUACAAUAGGCUUCAUUCAUCACCCCUAUGUGAGCUGGUUGGUGGAUUAUGGGGAAUAUUGAUAGGGAUGGUGAAAAUGGAAUUGGAUACAUAGAAUAUGGAACAGUACAGCACAGUGUAGGCCUUUCGACCAUGAUGUUGUGCCGACCUUUAACCCACUCCAUAAUCCAUCUAAUUCUUCCUUCCUACAUAGCCCAUAACUCUCCAUUUUUCUUUCCUCUCUGUGCCUAUCUAUGAGUCUCUAAAAUAUCCCUAAUAUAUCAGCCUCAACCACCAUUACUGGCAAUGUGUCCUAGGCACUUCCCACUCUCUGUGCAAAAGCCACCCUCCGACAUCUCCCCUAAACCUUCCUUCACUCACCUUAAAAGGAUGUCCACUGCCACUGUUGCCCUGGGAAAAGGGCACUGGGUAACAAUUCCAUCUAUGCCUCUUAUAAUCAUAUACACCUCUACCAAGACUCCUCUCAUCCUCCUUCACCCCAAAGAGAAAAGCUCUAGCUCAAUCAAUUUCCUCAUAAGACAUGUUCUCUAAUUCUGGCAGCUUCCUGGUGGGUUUCCUCAGCUCCCUCUAAUGCUCCAAAUACUUCCCAUAAUGAGGUGACCAGAUCUGAACAAAAUACUCCAAAUGUGGUCUAACCAGAGUUUUAUAGAGGUGUAAUAUUAUAUUAUGGCUCUUGAACUCAAUCCCCGGCUAAUGAAUGCCAACACACCAUACGCCUUCUUAACCACACUAUCAAUUUGCAUGGCAACUUGAGGGAUUGAUGCAUUUAGAUUCCAAGAUCCCUUUGUUCCUCCACAGUGCUAAGGAUCCUGCCAUUAACCUUAUACUGGCCUUCAAGCUCAACCUUUGAAAGUGUUGCACUUCACACUUUUCCAGACUAAACUCAAUAAUCCAAUUCUCAGCCCAGCUCUGCAUACGGUUUAUGUCCUAUUGUAACCUAAGACAAUCUUCUACAUUAUUCACAUUUCAGCUUUGGUGUCACCUUCAAACUUACUAACCCACCCUUCAAUUUCCUCAUCCAAGUCAUUUAUAAAAAUCAGAAGGAGUAAGGGUCCUGGAACAGCUACCUGCAGAACACCACCGGUCACUGACCUACAGGCGGAAUGUGCUCCGUCUACUACCACCAUUUGUCUUCUACGGGCUUGCCAAUUCUGAAGCCCUGCUGCUAAGUUUCCAUGGAUCACAUGCCUCAGGACUUUCUGGAUGAGCUUUCCUUGGGGAUCCUUGUCAAAUGCCUUAAUGAAAUCCAUAUACAUCACUUCCACUGCUCUACCUUCAUCAAUUUGUUUUAUUACUUCCUUGAAAACUUCUAUCAGGCUUGUGAGGCACAACCUGCCUCUCACAUAGCCACGCUGACAAUCCUCAAUAAGACCAUGCCUCUCCAAAUAUUGCCACAGCAGGUCAAUGGCAGAUACAAUCUCAAUGGCUCUCCACGUGGCUUUUGACCACCUGGACAACACAAACACCCAUGUCAGGAUGCUGUUCAUCGACUAUAGCUCAGCAUUUAAUACCAUCAUUCCCACAAUCCUGAUUGAGAAGUUGCAGAACCUGGGCCUCUAUAUCUCCAUCUGCAAUUGGGUCCUUGACUUCCUAACCGAAAGACCACAACCUGUGCAGAUUAGUGAUAACAAAUAUUCCUCGCUGACAGUCAAUACUGGCGCACCUCAGGGGUGUGUGCUAGCCCACUGCUCUACUCUCUAUAUAGACUUCACUGUGUGGCUAGGCAUACCUCAAAUACCAUCUAUAAAUUUGCCAAUGAUACAACCAUUAUUGGUAAAAUCUCAGGUGGUGAUGAGAGGGUGUACAGGAGUGAGAUAUGCCAACUAGUGGAGUGGUGUCGCAGCAACAACCUGGCACUCAACGUCAGUAAGACGAAAGAGCUGAUUGUGGACUUCAGGAAGGGUAAGAUGAAGAAACAUAUACCAAUCCCCAGAAGUGGAGAGAGUGAGCAGUUUCAUGUUCCUGGGUGUCAAGAUCUCUGAGGAUCGAAUCUGGUCCCAGCAUAACGAUGUAGUUAUAAAGAAGGCAAGACAGUGACUAUACUUCAUUUGGAGUUUGAAGAGAUUUGGCAUGUUAACAAAUACACUCAAAAACUUCUAUAGUUGUACUGUAGAGAGCGUUCUGACAGGUUGCAUCACUGUCUGGUAUGGUGGGGGGCGGGGGGGGCUACAUCACAGGACCAAAAGAAAUUGCAGAGGGUUGUAAAUUUAGUUGGCUCCAUCUUGGGUAUUAUCCUACAAAGUACCCAGGACAUUUUCAAGGAGCGGUGUCUCAGAAAGCAGCGUCUUUAUUAAGGACCUCCAGCACCUAGGGCAUGCAUGCCCUUUUCUCACUGUAGGACACACAGAAUCCUGAAGGCACAUACUCAGCGAUUCAGGAACAGCUUCUUCCCUUCUGCCAUCUGAUUCCUAAGUGGACAUUGAACCCUUGGACACAACCUCAUUUUUUUUUAAAUAUACAGUAUUUGUUUUUUUGCAUGUUUUUAAUCUAUUCUUUAUGUAUACUAUAAUUGAUUUACUCAUUAUUUUUUUCUCUGUGCUGGAUUAUGUAUUGCAUUGAACUGAUGCUGCCAAGUUACAAGUUUCACGUCACAUGCCAGUGAUAAUAAACCUG